GAUGAACGCUGGCGGCGUGCCUAAUACAUGCAAGUCGAGCGAACAGAUGCUGCUCUUGCUCCUCGGACGUUAGCCGCGCACGUGUGAGUCACACGUGUAUCACCCACCUAUAAGACUGGUAACACCUCGGGAAACCGGCGCUAACACGGGAUAAUAUCUUGAACCGCAUGGUUGAUUAGUGAAAUACGGUGUUGCUGUCACUUCUCGAUGGAUCCCCGCCGCAUUAGCUAGUUGUUAAGUUAACGGCUUAUCAAGGCUACGAUGCGUAGCCGACUUGAGAGAGUGAUCGGCGACACUGGAGCUGGAACGCGGUCCAGGGUCCUGCGGGAGGCAGCAGUAGGGAAUCGGCCGCAGUGGGGGAAAGUAUGACGGAGCAGCGCCGCGUGAGUGAUGAAGGUCUUCGGAGCGGAAUACUCUGUUAUUAGGGGAAAACAAAUGUGUAAGUAGACAUGCCCGUCUUGACGGUACCUAGUCAGAAAGCAACGGCUAACUACGUG
rnacentral:rRNA from 1 species